GAUGAACGCUGGCGGCGUGCCUAAUACAUGCAAGUCGAGCGAACGGAUGAGAAGCUUGCUUCCCUGAUGUUAGCGGCGGACGGGUGAGUAACACGUGGAUAACCUACCUAUAAGACUGGGGUAACUUCGGGAAACCGGAGCUAAUACCGGAUAAUAUUUUGAACCGCAUGGAUCAAAAGUGAAAGACGGUCUGGCUGUCACUUAUAGAUGGAUCCGCGCUGCAUUAGCUAGUUGGUAAGGUAACGGCUUACCAAGGCAACGAUGCAUAGCCGACCUGAGAGGGUGAUCAGCCACACUGGAACUGAGACACGGUCCAGACUCCUACGGGAGGCAGCAGUAGGGAAUCUUCCGCAAUGGGCGAAAGCCUGACGGAGCAACGCCGCGUGAGUGAUGAAGGUCUUCGGAUCGUAAAACUCUGUUAUUAGGGAAGAACAUAUGUGUAAGUAACUGUGCACAUCUUGACGGUACCUAAUCAGAAAGCCGCGGCUAACUACGUG
rnacentral:rRNA from 1 species